rnacentral:rRNA from 1 species
GUGUCAGCAGCCGCGGUAAUACGUAGGUGGCAAGCGUUGUCCGGAAUUAUUCCCCGUAAAGGGCUCGCAGGCGGAAUCUUAAGUCUGAUGUGAAAGCCCCGGGCUCAACCGGGGAGGGUCAUUGGUUUCUGGGGAACUUGAGUGCAGAAGAGGAGAGUGGAAUUCCACGUGUAGCGGUGAAAUUGCGUAGAGAUGUGGAGGAACACCAGUGGCGAAGGCGACUCUCUGGUCUGUAACUGACGCUCACCAGCGAAAGCGUGGGGAGCGAACAGGAUUAGAUACCCCGGUAGUCC